rnacentral:rRNA from 1 species
GAUGAACGCUGGCGGCGUGCUAACACAUGCAAGUCGAGCGAGGGUUUGCUCAGUAUUGAGUAUUCUAAGUCUAGAAUGUUCAAUUCUGAGCAAAACCAAGCGGCGGACGGGUGAGUAACGCGUGGGUAACCUGCCCUAUACACAUGGAUAACAUACUGAAAAGUUUACUAAUACAUGAUAAUAUAUGUUUGCGGCAUCGCAGAUAUAUCAAAGUGUUAGCGGUAUAGGAUGGACCCGCGUCUGAUUAGCUAGUUGGUGAGAUAAUUGCCCACCAAGGCGACGAUCAGUAGCCGACCUGAGAGGGUGAUCGGCCACAUUGGAACUGAGACACGGUCCAAACUCCUACGGGAGGCAGCAGUGGGGAAUAUUGCACAAUGGGGGAAACCCUGAUGCAGCGACGCCGCGUGAACGAAGAAGGUAUUCGUAUCGUAAAGUUCUGUCCUAUGGGAAGAUAAUGACAGUACCAUAGAAGAAAGCUCCGGCUAAAUACGUGCCAGCAGCCGCGGUAAUACGUAUGGAGCGAGCGUUGUCCGGAAUUAUUGGGCGUAAAGGGUACGCAGGCGGUUUAAUAAGUCGAAUGUUAAAGAUCGGGGCUCAACCCCGUAAAGCAUUGGAAACUGAUAAACUUGAGUAGUGGAGAGGAAAGUGGAAUUCCUAGUGUAGUGGUGAAAUACGUAGAUAUUAGGAGGAAUACCAGUAGCGAAGGCGACUUUCUGGACACAAACUGACGCUGAGGUACGAAAGCGUGGGGAGCAAACAGG